AUUAGAGCUUCCCAAGAGCAUCACUGCAUAAAUACAUCCAACAAAUUUCAUCCAUCACUAAUUCAGACAAACGAGUGAAACACCAAGGUAACUACGAGCACUGCCAGACACUAGCGAUCUAAGAGGAGGUGAACUUGGUGACGGCCUUGGUGCCCUCGGAGACGGCGUGCUUGGCGAGCUCCCCGGGGAGGACGAGGCGGACGGAGGUCUGGAUCUCCCGGGAGGUGAUGGUGGGCUUCUUGUUGUAGCGGGCGAGCUUGGCGGCCUCGCCGGCGAGCUUCUCGAAGAUGUCGUUGAUG
rnacentral:lncRNA from 1 species